CAUGUCCUUCUUCCACCUCUGCUCGAUCUCCUUGUCUCGCACGACAGAGCCCGCCGCUGCCGAAUCAGGCUCCUCGUGAUCUACGCGAUUCGAACCCCUCUCUCCAAUACAUGGACACCGAGAGAUACCUCUCGCUCCCCUCGUACAAUUCCCGUGCAAAUCCCUCGAGGUAGAGCUCGAUUACGAGCAAACAGAGCACCCCAUAUUCGCUGCCCGAGCUCCCUUUUCCGGUCGGUGUCAUCAUCCUUUGAUUCGAGCCCCAACCAAACUGAUCUCGCCGGAGUUCCGCUCCUGAAGCUUCUGCUCGCCAUGACCGCUUGAGCAAGCGCACGCCUCCACCAAGCACUGCAAUGUUUCUGCCGCAUCAAGCCUAACCUUCCGGACCUCUUUGCUGCCCGGAGGAGCACAGGAGAAGUCACCAAGAUCGAUCCAGAAGCCGCCGCCAGCUUCCUAUAUUUCUGAUUGGUCGAAGCGUGCCGAGUAGAAUUAUAAGGAAUUGUGAGUGCGACGAACUUCAUCCAAUAUACCAGG